UCUGCUCUCGCGUCAUUUGGGGGCUCUGGGCCUGAGGAGGGUCCAUUCUCCUGUCAUCUGGGGGCUCCGGGCCUAAGGAGGAUCUGCUCUCGUGUAAUUUGGGGGCUCUGGGCCUGAGGAGGGUCCACUUUCUUGUCAUCUGGCGGGCUCCAGCCCUGAGGAGAGUCUGCUCUCAUGUCAUCUGGGGGAUCCAGCCCUGAGGAGGGUCUGUUCUCCUGUCAUCUGGGAGCUCCAGGCCUGAGGAGGGUCCGUUCUCCUGUAAUUUGGGGGCUCUGGGCCUGAGGAAGGUCUGUUCUUGUGUCAUUUGGGGGCUCCGGGCCUGAGGAAGGUCUGUUCUCCUGUAAUUUGGGGGCUCCAGGCUGAAGGAGGGUCCGCUGUCACAUCACCUGAGGGUGCAGGCCUGGAGGGAGCCCACUCUCCUGCUCUCUGAGGGGGGAGCCCCUUCCCGUGUGAGCAAGUGGUGCAUGAAGGACCUGGCCUUUGGCCCGGGCUCUGCUGCGUAGGACCAGGGUUGUGCAGGCUGGAGGGCAGGCAGUGGAGACCAGUGGAGACCAGUGCCCUGGUCUGAGGAGUGUUUUGGGGAGAAAUAUCUGCUCUCCUGUGUCGGGCUGUUGGCGCAUAGCUUCUGCUCCGCUGGGCUGGGUACUAACCAUGAAAUAGUUUGGUAAUGGGAAGUGUUGAGGAAACUUCAAAGCAGGGAACGUGGCGUUGGGGGUUCUCAGUGGCCAGCCUGGGAAAUGCCACGGAAAGUCAGGAAAGCAAUUUCUCAUGAGACAAUUUGUCAGCCAAGCAGUUGAAUUUUUAGACUUGACCAUCAAGUAUAAAUUACUGGAGAUGUUCUACCUACAGUUGACUGAUGCUCUGUUGUAUCCAUGUUAUUGUUAAAAAGGAACGAUGUUUCUGCCUACGUAUAAUCAGUGUCAUGAUUCAUCAUUUGCAGCUGGAGCAGGAAUUCAUUCAUUAGUUUUCUGUCAGUCACUGGCCCAAGCUGCUAUUUGUCCGCCUGUAAUCCCACUUCAGAAAAUGCAGUGCAUGCAUACAUCAAAAAUGAAAUCACAUAAUAACAGGAGAGACCAGACUUAAAAUAUAGGUCUCAUAGAGAUCAUUGAUAAUUGGUUUAUUAGUGCUUGUAGUGUCUUAAAAUUAAGCUGUCUUUUAGCUGUAGCUGUGGUAUAAAUAAAGUCAUCUCUAACCCUUUGUCAUGACUGAUGACGUUAUCCAUACAGACUGGAUUUGAUAAUGUUCUGACAGGCAUGCUGACCAAGAAACAAGUUUACACUAUGAUCAAAUGUUAACACAAGACAUUUAUUCCUACCAAAAUGGAAAAAAAAAAAAGCUAUUGAUGUAUGUCAUUUCAAAGUGAUAUUUAAAAUAUUUUCUGGAUUCCAUCCCAGGCUCAAAUAUUCUUUGGAAGAGUUCUAGUAAUCCACAUAGAUUGCAGAAUUCGGAAAAAACAACCAACCAAACAAAACCCCUCUGUUUGGAUAGUCUGAAAAUGUUCUUUUCCUUGUUCCAUUUACAUUAGUUUAAAAGAUGUAUCUAAGAGGAUCACUUGCAACAGACUGCAGUGUAGAAAAUAAUUGUUUCUUUGGAGCCUUGGUUGUCUUUUGGAUCCAUGUCCAGGGAUCUAUUUCUUGUCUUCAAUCUCUGCAGUUGAUUUGACAGAAUUUCAUUCUCUUCACACAGAAAACGUGUUCUGAUACCCUCGGCUAACUUGCAUUUUGAAGGAAAAAUGCUGAAAUCCUUCAUGCUCAAAUCUGUGGAUAUUUUGGGAACAAGUUUUCACAUCCACCUUACUUUUUUACUCUGGACAAAACACAGCAGCUAACUCUGUGCAUUAUUUGGAACCUCUUAAUAGAAAUUUACAGAGUCAAUAUAUAUCUGAAUUUACUGCCUCUGAAGUUGAAAUUAAGAGGUGUAUCAGAUAAGAAUCGAAGCCCAAAUGGCCUGACUUACCUGCUGCAGCUGGAAAGUUGAUAUAUUUAGAACAAAUGGGCAUUACCCGGGAGCAUUUCUGGCAGCUUGUUACAGGGGGAUAAGAUAUUACAACUGCUCUGAAAUUACAGAGUGACUCUUGUAUUUCAGAAUGUUCAGAACUUUGUUUUAAAUAUAGCUUGUGAGAUCAGUCAGCAAGUCUUUAUUUCUGGACUAAUCAUUGCUUAGAGAGGAAUAUAUAUUGAUCAAAUAGCAGUAAAUUGAAAUCAUCCCUCCUUGAAAUGAAGGCUUGGGGCAAAGGAAAGAUUCCUGUUUAGUUUUACUUCUUAGUAAAAACUUGGCAAGAUGUAUUUCCCAGUUAAAAUGUGUUCUGGUAUAUUCAGAGGUGAUUUAAUGUAAAAUCACUGAAGUUGCCCCCUCGCAGGGCAUUUUAAAUGUGCCUGUAACUGUUCAUCGUGGGUUUGUUCUUUGUUAUUAUAAUAAAGAUGUGCCUUACUUCAUGCUCACCAGCCCUUCUGCUUACUUUUGGUUUUUUUAGUUUAAAAAAGGUAUCUCUGUGGUUUUGCUCAGUGAAUUUCUCUCUCUGAGUAAAUGCCAGAGCUGACUGCAAGAUGGUGGGUUUAAAGUCUUAAGUAGUCUGGUAACGGGGAGAAGGAGAGAGAGAGGCAGCUCUUUUCUGUUAGAGGAUAGUAAAUGGAUCCAGCAGAAUAAGAGCACUUCUGUCAUAAGCGAGUGCUGCAUGUUGAAUACUCAGUACUGCAAUUUUCUUUCUUCUAGGAUAUUACAGAAACUCCUACUAAUGGCUGUUCCGCUUCUCUGAAACCAUAGAUUAUUUGGAACACUGAUGGGUGGGCAGCUGUUUCAUUCUGAGCCUUCGUUACAAUGAGGAAGCAGCAAAAGGAGGAACCAGCGCUUCACACAGAGAGGUGUGUGUCGCAGAAAACCACAUUUCAUCAUCCACGUGUUGGGAGUCAUUGGAAUAGCAGAUAUGACAUAACUGCUGAUAACUUUAUGGAAGGAUCUUGGUAAUGAAAUACUGGCAGCUGCAUGGUGAAAUCAGGAUGGCCUGAAGAUGUUAUGUGGACCUGUAAACAUCAGUUCCUGAGGGGUCAAGUUCACCCUAGCUGAAUGGGAAGCCACGGUGAGAGAGCGUGGUGCUGAGGCAGAAGCCCAGUCUCUCGCCUGCGGUGCCUCAGUGUUCCCUGCACACAAAGCAAAAGCCCCAGCCAGCAAAACAGAGACGCUCCUGGAGGGACAAGACAGAAA